rnacentral:rRNA from 1 species
UACGGGGGGGGCAAGCGUUGUUCGGAAUUACUGGGCGUAAAGGGCUCGUAGGCGGCCAACUAAGUCAGACGUGAAAUCCCUCGGCUUAACCGGGGAACUGCAUCUGAUACUGGAUGGCUUGAGUUCGGGAGAGGGAUGCGGAAUUCCAGGUGUAGCGGUGAAAUGCGUAGAUAUCUGGAGGAACACCGGUGGCGAAGGCGGCUCGCUGGCUCGAUACUGACGCUGAGGUGCGAAAGCGUGGGGAGCGAACCGG